CCUACGGGAGGCAGCAGUGGGGAAUAUUGCACAAUGGGCGCAAGCCUGAUGCAGCGACGCCGCGUGAGGGAUGACGGCCUUCGGGUUGUAAACCUCUUUCAGUAGGGAAGAAGCGUAAGUGACGGUACCUGCAGAAGAAGCGCCGGCUAACUACGUGCCAGCAGCCGCGGUAAUACGUAGGGCGCAAGCGUUAUCCGGAAUUAUUGGGCGUAAAGAGCUCGUAGGCGGUUUGUCGCGUCUGCCGUGAAAGUCCGGGGCUCAACUCCGGAUCUGCGGUGGGUACGGGCAGACUAGAGUGAUGUAGGGGAGACUGGAAUUCCUGGUGUAGCGGUGAAAUGCGCAGAUAUCAGGAGGAACACCGAUGGCGAAGGCAGGUCUCUGGGCAUUAACUGACGCUGAGGAGCGAAAGCAUGGGGAGCGAACAGGAUUAGAUACCCUGGUAGUCCAUGCCGUAAACGUUGGGCACUAGGUGUGGGGGACAUUCCACGUUUUCCGCGCCGUAGCUAACGCAUUAAGUGCCCCGCCUGGGGAGGUACGGCCGCGACGACGUAACUACAANAGAGUUAGUACGGCGUGAGACGUCGCCGACGGACGACGACGAGGGAGAGG
rnacentral:rRNA from 1 species